rnacentral:misc_RNA from 1 species
UAAGUAGACAGGAGAAUCUCCCUCCGACCUUCAUGCAACCUUCAGCUGCGCCUCACAUGUGCCUCACUUUUGAUUGGUUUAACGCUCUUAUAAGCACUGCAAGCAAAACCAAUGCAAUGCUUACUUCAUUGUAUAAACGUUUUAUUGUCGCUGCUAAGUAACACAAAAUAAACAAAAUUGGGGUUAUAAAUUUAAAAAGUAGUCUUAGUCUUAUUUAGUGCUAUGAGUGCAACAUUUUUCUAAAGGGGUGAAUGGAUAAGUUCCAGUACAACCGAGCACGAGAAACACAUUUGUUGUGAAAUCUCUAUUUGAUUCGUUAAAAAGUCAGUCAGUAAAUUAAUUUAUAAAUUUGAAAAUCAUAAAGGGACUGCAUGCCGAUAUUUUUGUAACAAAAAGAGAUAAGGUAUUAAAAUGAGCCAACUUCAAAGUUCUAAUUCGGGUGGUCAAUUUAUGGAUCGGGGGCGCAUGAAUCAAAAUGGUGUUGUUCAGCCUCUUUUAACAGAUCUUUAUCAGAUUACGAUGGCAUACGCUUAUUGGAAGUCGGGAAAAACUGAUGACCAAUCGGUAUUUGAUUUGUUCUUUCGAACGAACCCAUUUCAUGGAGAAUUCACCAUAUUUGCUGGACUGGAGGAAUGUCUAAAAUUUUUAGAUAGUUUCCACUACUCAGAUAGCGAUAUUGACUAUCUGAGGCAAACAUUACCCGAAGGUGUAGAAAAUGAGUUUUUUGAAUACUUAGCCAGUUUGACAGCAAAAGAUGUUACCUUAUACGCCAUCGAUGAGGGUACAGUGGCCUUUCCAAGGGUACCUAUUAUCAAAGUUGAAGGACCUUUGAUAAUUGUGCAGCUUUUGGAAACAACAUUAUUGACGUUGGUGAAUUAUGCGAGUUUAAUGGCAACGAAUGCUGCUCGUUAUCGUAUGGUGGCUGGAAAACACGUGAAACUCUUAGAAUUCGGCCUACGUCGUGCUCAAGGCCCAGAUGGAGGAUUAUCGGCAUCAAAAUAUUCUUACACCGGGGGCUUUGAUGGAACAUCUAACGUGCUGGCAGGAAAACUUUUCAAUAUACCUGUUAAGGGCACCCAUGCGCAUGCUUAUAUAACGUCAUUUUCUGGAAUUGGAGAGUUAAAAACCCGCUUACUGAGACAUAAGACAACAGGUAUAACUGGUGAUCUGUUGGAUCACGCUGUCCGACAUCGUCAGGCAUUGGCCCAUGUGCUCGACGUAUCCCAGGAGGAGUCUAGUGAGGGCGAAUUGGCGGCAAUGGUGUCCUAUGCAAUAGCGUUUCCCGAUGGAUUCAUGGCGCUAGUCGAUACGUACGAUGUUAAGAGAAGCGGGCUUUUAAAUUUCUGUGCUGUUGCAUUGGCGCUCAACGAUUUGGGCUAUCAUGCAGUUGGUAUUCGCAUCGACUCCGGAGAUUUGGCUUACUUAUCUUGCUUGGCACGCGAAACUUUCGAAAAGGUCGCCGAAAGAUUUAAGGUGCCAUGGUUCAAUAAGUUAACAAUUGUUGCAUCGAAUGACAUCAAUGAAGACACCAUUCUCAGCUUGAAUGAGCAAGGUCAUAAAAUUGAUUGUUUCGGAAUCGGUACUCAUUUAGUAACAUGCCAAAGACAGCCAGCCCUCGGUUGUGUGUACAAGCUCGUUGAAAUAAAUGGACAACCACGCAUUAAAUUGAGCCAAGAUGUCGAAAAGGUCACAAUGCCGGGAAACAAGAACGCUUACAGAUUAUACAGUGCUGAUGGACAUGCACUAAUUGAUUUACUACAGAAGGUUUCGGAGCCGCCUCCAAGUGUUGGUCAAAAAGUUUUGUGCCGUCAUCCCUUCCAGGAGUCGAAGCGGGCUUACGUAAUUCCCUCGCAUGUUGAAUUGUUGUACAAAGUAUAUUGGAAGGACGGCAAAAUUACACAACAGUUGCCCACAUUAGAACAAGUGCGCGAAAAGGUAAAGAUUUCGCUUAAAACCCUGCGGAAUGAUCACAAGCGCACACUCAACCCAACGCCUUAUAAGGUGGCCGUCAGCGACAAUUUAUACAACUUUAUACACGAUUUGUGGCUACAAAAUGCACCGAUUGGCGAACUCUCAUGAUCUAUAUAAUUUUCUAAUUUCCCAAAAGAGUCAUGGUGCAAAUCAUAUGAACAUAAAAUUAGAAAAAAUUUAUCGAAAUUUGACAUAGGCAGCAAUUCAAGCAAAUUACAUUGACAAUUCUCAUUUCAAUACAUUCGUAGAUUUAUAUAUCUAUAUACAUAUGUAUAUGGAAAUCGGAUUGGGAAAAUAUAAGUUUACAGCACAACUUAUCAGGAAUGUGUCUUGUGCCUUAUGUACACAGACCCGGUUAUAUAUAAAUGCAUUGCAAAUUCGUUUUCAUGACUUUUAAGUACAAUUAUUAGUUAUGCAAAUAAGCGUCAUUGUAUGUAUAUACACAAAUGUGUAUAUGAGAGCUUUUUAAUAGAUGUUAGUUGAACAUUAAAAUGUAGAUGAUGUAUUACACUCACAAUGAAACAUACUGAAAUAUUGUUAAAGUUAAAGAAAUUGUCGUAAUUAAUAUAAUAUAUUUUAAGAUAUCAUAAAAAUAUGUAGAUUGUGAAAUUUGCUAACAAAAUAUUUACUUAAUUUCUUGCAAAACGUAAAAUAUGCACAACUUAACCUUCACUAACCACUUUAUUGAGUAUAGAAUGCGUAACUAAAAUAGCAUUCCGAAUCAUGUAAGCCAUAAUAUAGGCAAUUUCUAAUUAAUGAAAACUGUUUGCCUCCCUGAAGCACCCUAUGUAGUUUAAAUUUAUAAUGUCUGUAAUUGAUUAAGUUACAUAUUAUGACAUUAGCAAAGCGUACAUACUAAGGCAUAUUUUGUAUAUAUAAUAUAGUUUGACGUGUGUUUAAAAUUAAGUGUUGGUUUAUGUUUUUAAAUUAGAAUUAAAAGAUUGGAAACACAAAAAUAAAAUUUGUACAAAAUAAAUCAUCCAAUAUUCAGUUUAUUAUUACCGUGAGUUGAUAUAUGUACAUAUGUAUGUACAUAUGUAAACUGUUUAAAGAGAAAGUCCCCUGACUACCAUAUAAAUUCGUUAAUGACAAAAAAUGGAAACACGCAUAAUUAUUUUCAAAUUUUUAUUAAUUUAUUGGUUGUAUCAUUGUCUUGUACAUUUCAAAAAUUCAUAUCCUUAUUAAGUAUAUUUUAUGAAAGAUCUUUAUAAUCUACUCUGAAUCGUCGCACAGGAUUGUUCAUCGAUUUAAGUAUGCAUGUAUUUUGUAUAUUAAGUUUCCGUCCGUCUAUUUUCACGUGGGUAUAUAUGUAUGUAUAGUAUAUAAUUCACUACAUAAUAUGAAACUGUUUAACGUUGAAGAUAAAUAUUUUUUUAUAUUUUUUAUAUUUUUGUCACUAUUUACUAUUCCGCUUUUAUAUACUAUAUGUAUGUUCUUAAAUUCUUUAUUGUUUGGUUAUAGUUCUUUGAUUAAUUAUCUGAGUAUUUGUACACUUCUUGCUUUAAAAAUUGUUGAUUAAGGAGUAGUCAUAUACUGCAAAUUUAAAUGUGGAUGCAUUGCCACUCGGCAAUGUUCUCUGUUUUCGUAUUAUAACUUAAAAAAUAUGAAUAAAAAUAUUAUUGUUUUCAAUAUAUUUCUUUAUGUUUUAGAA